UACGGGGGGGGCAAGCGUUGUUCGGAAUUACUGGGCGUAAAGGGCUCGCAGGCGGCCGACUAAGUCAGACGUGAAAUCCCUUGGCUCAACCAAGGAAUGGCGUCUGAUACUGGACGGCUUGAAUCCGGGAGAGGGAUGUGGAAUUCCAGGUGUAGCGGUGAAAUGCGUAGAUAUCUGGAGGAACACCGGUGGCGAAGGCGGCAUCCUGGACCGGUAUUGACGCUGAGGAGCGAAAGCCAGGGGAGCAAACGGG
rnacentral:rRNA from 1 species